rnacentral:RNase_P_RNA from 1 species
GCUGCAGGUGACACGUUCGCUGUCUCAUAUUUGAGUGAGAUUGAGGAAAGUCCGGACAGCCAAGAGCACCGCACCACCUAACGGGUGGUUCAGAUUGCUAUCUGGAAGAGAGUGCCACAGAAAAUUACCGCUCCAUUAAUUUGGAGUAAGGGUGAAAACGUGAGGUAAGAGCUCACGCUCUGAUUCAGCGAUGAACCGGAGGGGUAUACCUUGCGGGCUGUAAGGUCAAAUAUACUUCGGUCAGGUUGCUGGUUCAGCAACCAGUAGGGCUGCUCGUCUUACUCAUGAACUGUUCAUGACCCGAGGUGGGUAGACCGCUUGAUCAUGAUGGCGACAUCAUGACCAGAUAAAUGAAUGUGAAGCCUGGGAUUCUUCGAAAGGAGAAUUUCGGUUUACAGAAUCCGGCUUAUGAUCCUGCAGCAUUU